UGAGGAAUAUUGGGCAAUGGAGGCAACUCUGACCCAGCCAUGCCGCGUGCAGGAAGACGGUCCUAUGGAUUGUAAACUGCUUUUAUACGGGAAGAAACACCCCCUCGUGAGGGGGCUUGACGGUACCGUAAGAAUAAGGAUCGGCUAACUCCGUGCCAGCAGCCGCGGUAAUACGGAGGAUCCAAGCGUUAUCCGGAAUCAUUGGGUUUAAAGGGUCCGUAGGCGGCCUUAUAAGUCAGUGGUGAAAUCUCCCAGCUCAACUGGGAAACUGCCAUUGAUACUGUAGGGCUUGAAUUAUUAUGAAGUAACUAGAAUAUGUAGUGUAGCGGUGAAAUGCUUAGAUAUUACAUGGAAUACCAAUUGCGAAGGCAGGUUACUAAUAAUGGAUUGACGCUGAUGGACGAAAGCGUGGGGAGCGAACAGGAUUAGAUACCCUGGUAGUCCACGCCGUAAACGAUGGAUACUAGCUGUUGGGAGCAAUCUCAGUGGCUAAGCGAAAGUGAUAAGUAUCCCACCUGGGA
rnacentral:rRNA from 1 species